GCCCUCCUUUCUCUUGAGUCAGGGCCAAGGAUGGUGUCACCCAGAUGCCUGUGAACCAAGUGAUAUACACCAGAUUUAUUUAACUACUGGCAACUACUUUUUUUCUUCAUAGGGCAAUGAGUUAAAAGAUUAUUUACCUCCCUUGGUUACAAAAAGAAGAAAUAUUUCUUCCAAGACUCUGGGUAGCUGCGGCCAGUUCUCCCAGAGAAAUUAUUUACCCCAAAGAUUCAGAUCACGGAUCCUGGAAGCCUUGGCCGGACCGACUCCUUGCCGCUGCACUGCAUGGGAACCUUCUGAGGGUGUCAUUUCAAAAGCCAGAUAAAAGCCGAAUGAGGAGGCUGGGGAAAGUGUCCAACGUAGCUGUUCUGAAAACCACCCUCCAUUUCAUUCUGGAACAGGGAAGUUACACCCAGACAUCACAAAAGCUUCUCUCCUCACAGAAAAUUAACUGGUCUAUUCAGGUUUUGUUCCUACUUGUGUCCAUCUUGGAAGAAUACAUUUUUUUCUAAGAGACCUUUUGCCGAAUAUUUCAACUUGAACAUCUGGAAGUUUACAGUUCAUGUAUUGCUGAAGCCUGGCUUGGAAAAAUACUAUAAGAAAGCCAAGAAGAGUGCAGCCUGUUCAGAGAAGAAAGAGAUGGACUCCAGUGUGCCAGUGAAGAAACACUGAAAAUCUAUGUCCUUGGCAUUGGGGUUUCUUAAAGAUGCCACUCCUUUUCCAUGUCUCUGCUGGUUCUCUUGUCUUUUAUAAAUACAAACUCUGCUACUCACUGAAAUUUUUGAAAUACUUAAUUUUCUAUAAUUUCUUGAUUUUGAAAGUUGUGGAGGAAGAUAUGUAUCUUUUAAAUUUCAUCUCUUAAUUUUUAGAAAUGCUAAUAUCAGAUCAUUUACUGGCUAUGUUCUUUACUGUUAGCCCCAUGCGACAAUCAGAUCUGGU
rnacentral:lncRNA from 1 species